rnacentral:rRNA from 1 species
UGCGCAGGCGGACCAGCAAGCAUGUUGUGAAAUCCCACGGCUCAACCGUGGAACUGCGAUGUGAACUGCUGGUCUUGAGGCAGGUAGGGGUCGAUGGAACCAUGGGUGGAACGGUGAAAUGUGUAGAUAUCCAUGGGAACGCCAAUGGCGAAGGCAAUCGACUGGGCCUGUCCUGACGCUCAGGCACGAAAGCGUGGGGAGCAAACA